CCGUGCUAAGUGGGGAAUUAGCGGUGCCCUGUACUUGCAAUCCGCUCUAGCAAGACUGAAUUCCACUUCUGAGGAAUUGGAUGUGAGGACUGCCGCUUACCAGAGGUGUUGAGAUCUCGGUCCUAUGCAAUAGAACGUUACGAACCAUGUCAGGUCCGGAAGGAAGCAGCAUUAAGUAACCCAUUCUAUGUGCCGUAGGGUAGCCGAGGUUGAGCUGAAAGUAAGCGUAACGCUUGUGUUAAAUAUUCGAAGAAGUGGUGCACGG
rnacentral:SRP_RNA from 1 species